rnacentral:rRNA from 1 species
UACGAAGGGGGCUAGCGUUGUUCGGAAUCACUGGGCGUAAAGCGCAUGCAGGCGGAUCGAUAAGUCGGGGGUGAAAUCCCGAGGCUCAACCUCGGAACUGCCUUUGAUACUGAAGAUCUUGAGUUCGGGAGAGGUGAGUGGAACUGCGAGUGUAGAGGUGAAAUUCGUAGAUAUUCGCAAGAACACCAGUGGCGAAGGCGGCUCACUGGCCCGAUACUGACGCUGAGGCACGAAAGCGUGGGGAGCAAACAGG